AUCCAGCUGACGAAUCCGAAAUGGGUUGAAAUGGCCGUCCUGGAU
rnacentral:hammerhead_ribozyme from 1 species